ensembl:lncRNA
UAUUAGAUGUUAUUAGAUGUAUUAGAUGUAUUAGAUGUUAUUUGAUGUAUUAGAUGUUAUUUGAUGUAUUAGAUGUUAUUAGAUGUUAUUAGAUGUUAUUUGAUGUAAUAGAUGUUAUUAGAUGUAUUAGAUGUUAUUAGAUGUAUUAGAUGUUAUUAGAUGUUAUUUGAUGUAAUAUAUAUAUUAGAUGUAUUAGAUGUAUUAGAUGCUAUUUGAUGUAUUUGAUGUAUUAGAUGUAUUAGAUGUUAUUAGACGUUAUUGCAUGUAUUAGAUGUUAUUUGAUGUUAUUUGAUGUAUUAGAUGUUAUUAGACGUUAUUGCAUGUAUUAGAUGUUAUUUGAUGUUAUUUGAUGUAUUAGAUGUUAUUAGACGUUAUUGCAUGUAUUAGAUGUUAUUUGAUGUUAUUAGAUGUAUUAGAUGUUAUUAGACGUUAUUGCAUGUAUUAGAUGUUAUUUGAUGU